UACGUAGGGUGCAAGCGUUGUCCGGAAUUAUUGGGCGUAAAGCGCUUGUAGGCGGUUUGUCGCGUCUGCUGUGAAAUUUCGGGGCUCAACCCCGAACUUGCAGUGGGUACGGGCAGACUAGAGUGUGGUAGGGGAGACUGGAAUUCCUGGUGUAGCGGUGAAAUGCGCAGAUAUCAGGAGGAACACCGAUGGCGAAGGCAGGUCUCUGGGCCAUAACUGACACUGAGAAGCGAAAGCAUGGGGAGCGAACAGG
rnacentral:rRNA from 1 species